rnacentral:misc_RNA from 1 species
GUCAAACUCUCCACAAUAAUUAGGGGCUGAGAAUAUAGUCACUAGUUGUCUGUCAGCGAAAAACUCGUAACCAUCUUCCACGACCUGGUGGGCACGGCAAAUGAGGUCAAGAUCUAGCUUCUGAAGAUACUCUGUCACCUUAUCUGGACCAAAUGUGUAGGAAACACCCCUAUCAUUCAUUCCCCACCCUCUAAUGUCCCUACAAGGAUCUGACCAUAAAAGAUCACAAAGCAGUCCAGUUUCUGGAACAUCAGUUGGUCGAUGGAGGUUCCGUAUCUGAUCCAGAUGAUGAAGGUCGGGGGAGAGUCCACCAUGCAUGCACAAUAUCUUUUCAUCAACCAGAGCUGCCACAGGCAGGCAGUUAAAACAUUCUGUGAAUAUCUUCCACAAUCGAACAUUGAACCUUCGUUUGCA